rnacentral:rRNA from 1 species
CAGUCGCCGCGGUAAUACGGAGGGUGCAAGCGUUAAUCGGAAUUACUGGGCGUAAAGCGCACGCAGGCGGUCUGACAAGUCAGAUGUGAAAUCCCCGGGCUUAACCUGGGAACUGCAUUUGAAACUGUCAGACUGGAGUCUUGUAGAGGGGGGUAGAAUUCCAGGUGUAGCGGUGAAAUGCGUAGAGAUCUGGAGGAAUACCGGUGGCGAAGGCGGCCCCCUGGACAAAGACUGACGCUCAGGUGCGAAAGCGUGGGGAGCAAACAGGAUUAGAUACCCCUGUAGUCCCUGUCUCUUAUAC